rnacentral:ncRNA from 2 species
CUAAUCGUAAAUAAAAUUUCUCGUAUAUCCUCGGUAAUAUGGUCCGAGUGUCUCUACCUAGUUCCCACGAUAAGAACUGGACUACGAGUUGAAGUAUUUGGUUG